CCCAGAACCCCCUGGUUGCUAGCGUUGUGGGCUGACCAACUCGGCUACGACAUUUCGUGGAUAAAAGUAGGGGCACUACAAGAGCAUCUCCAACAGUCGCGCUUCGCGCCACGCCCAAAAAAUGUGUUUGUCGCGCGCGCUUCGGCUGGUUUAGCGCGGGGAUAAGCGCUGGCUCCAACGGCCGCGCUAUAAUGCAUCGCGCGCGCCGCUCCAGCAGCGCCCAAAAAUACAGCGCGCAGCACGCACAAAUCACAUAUACAUUUCAAAAAAUAGGAGCAAAAAUGAUCAAAAAACAAAAUAAAUCAACAAUAAAUAAUAAUUAGAACUCAAAUAAUCGUUCACUACAAAAAAUAAUGCAUUAAACACAACCAAUAGUUCAUGAACAAUACAAUGUCGAAUGCAGAAAUCAUGCUCUUUCUCGUCCAUGCCAUGCCCACCACUCCUCCUCUUCCAUAUCAAAUUCUUCUUCGGAAGAAUCAUACGACGAACUCAUCUACAAUGUUCAAUACUAUACUAUAAAAACUACAAUUCAAAACAUGCACCAAAUUCAUAAGUUUGAGCAAUACAUACCUUGUAGGCGUUUUGUCGAACACCUUGCGGGCGCUGCGGCCGCGAGCGCUCGGGCGUUGUUCCUCGGAUGAGGGAGGCGUGUGACGGCCGGCGGGACUAGGAGGGGGUGGGGCGGAAGCGCGGUGGCGCGGGGAGGCCGAGGAAGCGCCUGAACGGUCGCCGGGGGGCGCGGCCGGCGGCGGCUGCGGAGAUAGCCGGGGAAGCGCCUAAACGGUCGCCGGGGGGCGUGGGCAGCGACGGCGCCACGGGGAUAGGCCGGGGAAGCGUCUGAACGGUCGACGAGGGCGCGAGCGGUGGCGGCGGCGCGGCCGGAUGGGGGUGGAAGUGGGGAGCGAGCGCAAGAAAGUAGAGGAGCGAGCGCGCGAGAGUGAAGGAGCUAGCGCGGGAGAGUCCAACGCGCGGGAGCUGGCGCAGCAAAUAAGCGGCGCGCGAUUACGUUUCGGCCAGCGCGUUGAACUGCAUAUGCCGCGCGCAUCAUUUUUGUGUGCCCGCUGGAGCUAUCUUCCGCGUUGCGCGCGCGCUAAAACGGGCUAUUUUGCGGCGCAACGCUAGUUUAACGCGGCUGUUGGAGAUGCUCUAAAUACGCUAAUGCACCAGAAUGGAUGUAGGACUGAACAAAAAACAGUUAUGCGACAAGGUGCUCACAUCGGGGAUUCAGAGACCGGCAGGCUAGCACUACUCCGGCGUCGACGGUAGGCGCGGAGGCUGGGAAUGGAACAACGCGGGGAGGAAGCUGGGUGCAGACCCGGUGCGGGAAGGAGACUACCGUCGGUGGGGCUCGAGCGAGGGCCCCCAUGGCGAUCUCACGAAGACGGACGGCUCAGGCGGAGGCCAUGGACGGUGGAAAUCGCGGCGGAUCCGCUGGCUGGAUAGCUGGGCGGCGAAUCAGGAGUCGACGACGGGAGAGCUCGAAGCACAGACCCCUCAUUGUUCCUUCUGGGUGCCGGUGAUGCGGGGCUCCAGCAAGGACGUGGCCUGGCUGGCCUCGGGGACAGCGAGGUCUGGCGUUUCUGCUUCGGUGCAUCUCCCGUAGAGGGCAGCGAGGAGCGACGGGCUGGAGGUCGAGGAAGCACGAUGCAGAAGCUGAGGUAGAUGCUUUCGCGAGGGGGAGGCUACGGCCUCGGGCUGCAGGGGCGCUACGGGCAGAGGGAGGGGCUCUGACUCCUGGUUCCUGUCGAGGCACAUCAGAGGGAGGCGUGGAGGAGCUCGGGGUUGCUACUACCGUGGAGUAAGCAAAGGAUGGCUGAGGGAGGAUUGGUUGCCACGGAAAUUGAGGAGGGACAAGGGGGAGGCUGCGGAUCUGGGAGGAUCCCGGGUGGGAGAAGACGAGGUGGAGGUGUUAGGAUUUUUUCACUGUUUUAAACUUUUUUCUAAACAUGAACACAAAAUGAACCAGAUUUGAAACCAUUUCACGAUCUGACCCUUUUAUAAACGCCACAAGUCAUGGUGUUGCUGCACCACUAUGCAACGCCAGUCUACCAUGGCGUUGCUGCCCUACAAUGACACGCCUGUCUACCGUGGCUUUUUUUCUUUCUUGCAACGCCAGUCUAAUGUGGCGUUG
rnacentral:lncRNA from 1 species